rnacentral:tRNA from 1 species
UCCCUGGUGGCUCAGAGGUUAAAGCGUCUGCCCCUAAUGCGGGAGGCCCAGGUUCGAUCCCUGGGUUGGGAA